CGAAUACAACAGGUGUAAGUAGACCUGACAGUGAAAUGCUUACUUACAAGCCCUUAACCAACAAUGCGGUUUUAAGAAAAAUACCUAAAGAAAUAAGAAAUAAAGUAAAUUAUUAAAGAGCAGCAGUAAAAUAACAAUAGCGGGGCUAUAAACAGGGGGUACCGGUACAGAGUCAAUGUGGAGGCUAUAAACAGGGGGUACCGGUACAGAGUCAAUGUGGAGGCUAUAAACAGGGGGUACCGGUACAGAGUCAAUGUGGAGGCUAUAUACAGGGGGUACCGGUACAGAGUCAAUGUGGAGACUAUAUACAGGGGGUACCGGUACAGAGUCAAUGUGGAGGCUAUAUACAGGGGGUACCGAGUCAAUGUGGAGGCUUUAUACAGGGGUACCGGUACAGAGUCAAUGUGGAGGCUAUGUGCGGGGUAGCCAUUUGAUUAGUCUGGGUAGUCUGGGUAGCCAUUUGAUUAGUCUGGGUUGUCUGGGUAGCCAUUUUAUUAGAUGUUCAGGAAUCUUAUGGCUUGGGGGCAGAAGCUGUUUAGAGGCCUCUUGGACCUAGACUUGGUGCAUCAGUACUGCUUGCCGUGUGGUAGCAGAGAGAACUGUCUAUGACUAGGAUGGCUGGAGUCUGACAAUUUUUAGGGCCUUCCUC
rnacentral:lncRNA from 1 species